AGUGAGAUGAUUUCUUAGGCCUAGCACAGACGAAUGAUAUAAUCAUCAUUAUCAUCAAACAUCGUCGUUAUCUGGAUACUCGCGGGAGUGGAGCAACUUUUCCAUUAACAAAAUUCUGAUGCUGACCCAGAGGAGGGAGUGGUAGCCCCAGAGAUCCACUGUUCCCAUCAGACAAGAAUCUUAUUUUGUUCAGACACAUCACCUUUGACUGACUGGGAUUUUGAUCUUCAGACACCUGAUAUUAUGCAAAUAUUUUAAUUUUUUUGGAGCUCUAGAUUAAAACAAGACACUGUUCACAAACACACAAGAGAGGUUGUACUUUAUUCUUAUUAGUCCAUACUGAUCUUGGAUUAGCAUACCAACAACAUAUGAAUGUUAAAGUGAUAGUUCACCCCAAAAAAAUUCUCAUAUAUUUUACUCACCCUCAUGCCGUCCAAGAUGCAUAUUACUUUCUUUCUACAGAUAAACAUGAAUUAGUAUUUUUAGGAAAAUAAUACAUGUCUUCGAGUCCUAAAGACACAGUAAUCCAUGCGACCCCAGUGGAUGAAUCAAUGUCUUCUGAAGUGAAACAAUAGAUGA